CAGCCACGAAGCUUCCCUCCAAUAUCCCCAACCCCCACCUUGCUCAAAACCCUAAUCUCGCUGCGCACCACCGACACGGCCAAAUCCCCGGUCGCCGCCACCGACGACCACUCCGUCACCGCCAUUGAGAUCCAGCACUCUGACCUAGGCGAGAAGGCGAGCCUCGUCGACGCUGAUCACCGGAUCGGGGAUCGGCGGCGGCAGCUGAGGAGGAGCACCGAGCACGAACACUACACCAGCGACCUCCUCCACCACCGUGCCGAGCUGAGCAAGCUCAGCGAGGACCCGGGGAGGGACCGAAGGGACCGAGAGGCCACGCUGAUCAUCCUCACACUAUAG
rnacentral:lncRNA from 1 species